ACUACCCAAUAGCUUUUACUUUCCAAGGGAAGUCCCUAUUCUUCCUAAAAAGAAAUAAGUUAAAAUACUACAAUCUCUGAAACAUAAUUAGGAUACAAGCUUACACUCAUAAACAAAGAAAUGGAAAGUACUCACUUCUUAGUGAGAGAGCCAAAUCCAAAACUUAACUCCAAAGGGAUUUCAAUAGAAGAUUCAAUAGCUUGAUAACUUCUGAGAUACAGCUCCCCAUCACCCUCACUGACCUGCCGAUCAUCCAUUAACGUAAAACAGUUCUGGAAAGAACUGGUUCAGAAAAAAAAACAAAAAAAAAACAAAAAAACCAAAAAAAAACAAAAAAAAACAAAAAAAAACCCCAAAAAAACCAAAAAGGCCUUGCAACCAGCCCCUCAGCUGCAGCAAAUGCAGGAAGCUUUAUUAACUUCUGUAACGCAAUGCUAAUUUACACCAGCUGGGACCCUGCAUGACAAACGCAGUGGAUGGGAACCAGGCCUGAGCUUGCAAUGAGCUCCUGCCCCCAGGUGGAGCCACUUUAGCUUGAAGAGCUGCCCAGGGACAGGGAGCCUUGCAACUUGGCCUUCAUUUCUGUGGGAAACAGUUUUAGGAAAAUCUUCCCUUCGUAUGCUGGUGGGAGAAUAGAAUUAUUGGAAGACUUUGCUUUUUACAUCCUGUGCUGCUAUCUCAGGAGGAAAUUCUGAGAGGUGUUCACUGGACUUCAGGAGAAGUGAAAGAGAAAUCCACAGACCUCCCAAGCCAGAAUUCAUUCAUUGUUUUGCACAGCCGGAGUUAUGAUUUCUCCCUGGACCUGCAGUCCCUGGGUUUCAUUGCAUCUCUGUCGCUGAUGUGUCCCGCGUCCUUGGGCGAGUCACCAGAUUUCUCCCUAGAGAAUUCCUCCUCCGCACAAGCAUGUACAGCACCUUGCACAAAGGGGACUGAUUUUAGUUACCACCUGAAGGUGUCACUACUGCACAAUAGAUACUAAUACCCACCGCCUCCUAAGCGCUGUGGCUGCACUGCGGUUACAAUGAACGUGCCAAAAAGUUGUAACAGGUAUCAAAAUGUACAGUUUUAGCACUUAAAGGACACCAAUAUAUUGACCCAUUUGUGUCAAUAUUUAUUCCGUCGCAGCUGCAUUACAUUGGCAUAUAAGCCCCUAUCUAGUUUCCGUUAAAAUCAGUGGCAAACUCCCAUUGACUUAAACGGUGCAGGAUAAAGCCCUAAAUCUUUAAUGCAGUCGUGUGCAUGUCUCUGGUUUUUCCAGACAAUGUAACCACUACAAUGUAAAAUACAUCUAUUAUGUGCACUUUGCUCAAAUACCUGUAAAUGCGAAGGUAAUCACCCUUUCACAUCGUGUGCUGUAGAUCAACAAGUUAUUUCUCUUUGGGGAGAGCAAAACGACGACAACAACAAAGUUCUUAAAAAGUUCUCUUCCAGAAAUGCAAAUAUACCUCCGUAAUAGAAAUUCCCAGCUAAAACUGCCUAUAAAUAUCAAUUCUUCCAGGCUGGCUCACGCUAGGAAUUUCGCUCCGAGGGCUUCAAUCCUUUUGCUGCAUGCAAAACCCCUCGGUGCUUAUAGGUUCCCUCGCUAGCGGUAGCGAUGGG
ensembl:lncRNA